rnacentral:pre_miRNA from 9 species
GAUGUCGACGGGCACAAGGCCGUUCCAGCACGUCAAAGUGGUGGUGAUUUGUUGUGGAUAAGCUCAUAUCACAGCCAGCUUUGAUGUGCUGUGGCAGUCAAUCGUUGCCUCACUCGUC